rnacentral:lncRNA from 1 species
UAUGUAAACAAAGGCAUGCCCCUAUUUCAGAAAAUAUCCAUUUAUUAUUUUAAUAAUUGCGAAUAAGCCACAAACUUGCUUAUUCCUAAUUAAAAUAGUAAAUAGAGAUAAUAACAAACGGAUUAUUUGUAAAAUUAAAUUUUUUUUUGCGUUUUUGCUAAUGUAUGCGUUUAUAAACAGGAUGGUAGACCACACACUAUAAUAGUACCAACUAAUGAAUACACAGUAUGAAUAGUACAGUCGGUUCGCUAAACUUAGUCUCAGACACAACUGGCUAGUGAUUUUAGUAAAUAAUUUUGACAAUUUGGUAAAAUUGGCAAAAAAAUAACUAAAUAGUUAGUAAUUUUGGCAAAAAUGGCCAAAAACAAAAAAAUUACCUACUAAAAUCACUAGCCAGUUGUGGCUAGGGAAACGACUAUACUAAUAAACAAUUUCUAAGCUGCUUUUUAUAAUAUUUUCUUUCCAGAAGAUCCUGCGAAGAAGGCAUGAAGUAUUGAUCAGAUUUGUUAAUAGAGCAGUAUGUUCAAAACAUUUUUUAGAAAAAGAUAUUGACAGAACUUCACUUUCAACCGUUUGAGAGACUGUGCUGUUCCAAUAGCUUAUAUCACACAGAAUCAGCUGAGAGAAGUGGUCUACAAAAAACCAGGAAGGAAAUGGAAUAUGUGGCUAUGAAAGGCAAAAGAAAGGUUUACAAAGCAAAUGUGACACAUUUUUUUAUAGGAAUAUCAGUAAAUUACAUUAAAAAAAUGUAUGAAAAGAUUUUUUGCAAUAAAAAUGUUUAUAUUUAUCAAGCAUGCAUUAUUUGGUAUGGCCACAUAUCGUCAGUGAUGUGACAAUACCUCCUAUCUGUUUUUUCAUGAGAUUUGUAAGAUAGACUAAAAACUUGUUUGGGCCACCUCCUGUUUUCAUAUAUUUUUUGACUUGUUUUGCAGUAAAUUUAACUAUCUAUUUAC